GACGAACGCUGGCGGCGUGCUUAACACAUGCAAGUCGAACGGAAAGGCCCUGCUUUUGUGGGGUGCUCGAGUGGCGAACGGGUGAGUAACACGUGAGUAAACUGCCCCUGACUUAGGGAUAACUUCAGGGAACUGGGGCUCAUACCGGAUAGGAGCUUCUGCUGCACGGUGGGGGUUGGUAAGUUUCGGCGGUUGGGGAUGGACUCGCGGCUUAUCAGCUUGUUGGUGGGGUAGUGGCUUACCAAGGCUAUGACGGGUAGCCGGCCUGGGAGGGUGACCGGCCACAUUGGGACUGAGAUACGGCCCAGACUCCUACGGGAGGCAGCAGUGGGGAAUAUUGCACAAUGGGCGGAAGCCUGAUGCAGCAACGCCGCGUGCGGGAUGACGGCCUUCGGGUUGUAAACCGCUUUCGCCGGUGACGAAGCGUGAGUGACGGUAAUGGGUAAAGAAGCACCGGCUAACUACGUG
rnacentral:rRNA from 1 species